GGCGUUGUGGGGGCACCACGGAGGCUGCAGCCCCCUGCGCUGGGACCCCCAGAGCUGGGGACACCUCCAAGCCCCAGGUACCCCAUAACCAGCCUCUGCCCACACUCCAGCAGGUCACAUACCCGGUUACUUUAUGCCCUGGGUACCCCAUAUCCCGGGUACCCCAUACCCUGGGUACACCAUAUCGGGGGUACCCCAUAACGGAGGUACCCUAUACCCCCAUUUCCCUAUACCCCAGGCACCCUGUACCCCGAGUGCCUCGUACCCUGAGUACUUCAUACCCCAAGUUUCUCCACACCCCAGGUGCCCCACAAUCUCGUUACCCCACACCCCUAAUUCUCCUACUUCCAUUUGUCCGUAUCCCAGGCACCCUAUAAUCCGUGUACCCCACACUUCAGUCCCCCCAUAUACCAGGUACCCCAUAUUCCAAAUACACCACACCCCAGUUUCUCCAUACCCCACAGUCUGGGUACCCUGUACCCCAAUUACUCCAUCCCCACGCAUCCCAUACGCCAAGUGCCCCACACCCCAGCUUUUCCAGACCCCAGGGACCCCCAACCCAAAUACCCCACAUUGUUUCUCCAUACCCCGUCCCCCCCCUUGCCCUGGGGGAUUCCCUGCCCUGUGGCCCCGGUCCCGCUCACAGAGCGCACGGGGCUCCCCGCACACCCCACAGCCCCCCCAGCUCUGCCCCCAACCCUAGGACAUGGGACUGGGGCACGGGGGGGGGGUCCCUGCAGCGUCCCCCCCCCAAACCAUCCCAGGCACGGGGUGCCUGGACGGCCCCGCUGGACACCCUGCUGCCGUCCCACCCCCUGCCCCCGUAUCCACGGGAAGGCCACCGACCGGCCACCCCGCGCGUCCCUCCCACGUGCCCCUCCGUGCGCUGCGCUUGCAAAACCCGCAGGAUUUCCUGGAAAUUCCCGUUAUUGGAGAAACGAAACCAGGGCCCGAAGGUCCCUCCCAGCGCGCUCGGGUGGGCGCUGGCAGUGCAGGGCGGCACGGGCAGGAUGGAGGGCUGCUGCCUGCGCUGCCGCCUCUGGCACAGGCAGUCCUGGAGGAUGUGCGUGGCCCUGGCCAUCGGGGUGGCCGUGGUGGUCCUGGUGACAGCCCUCCCCUCCUCGGGGGAGCCACCGAGGGGCUUGGAGGGGCUGGAGCAGCUGGGGACGGCGCAGCGGGAGCUGCAGGCGCAGGUGGCCGCGCUGGGGCAGGCGCUGGCCGUCACCAACCGGUCCCUCGCCGAGGCGCUGGCCGUCACCAACCGGUCCCUCGCUGAGGCGCUGGCCGUCACCAGCAGGUCCCUCACCGAGGUGCGGGGGCAGUGGGAGAGCUGCAGAAACGAGCUGGACGCGCUGAAGAGCACCGUCUCGGAGCUGACACAGCGUUUAGCCCAGCUGCAGCACCACAGGGACGAGCAGGAGGCCAACGUGGUGCAGCUGCAAGAGAACAACAGGGAGCUCCAGGAGAGGCUGGAACAGCAAGAGCAUCAGCUGAAGGAGGCUCAGAGGAGCAGGAGCAACCUCCAGUCGCAGAUCUGGAACGCGUUGUCAGAGAUCCAGUCCAUACGGAGCUGGCGUUCGAGUGGGACCAGCGUGACGUUCCCUGGCGUGGCCGUGCCCCUCGUCCUCCUGGCUCUGCUCUUCGCAGGGACGCUGCUGCUUUGAGCACGGAGCUGGGAGAGCAUGGACCUGGCUUGUCGCCGUCCCCUUCCGCCCCCGCGGGGCAAGGAGGGACGGUUCCCAUCCUGCUGGGAUGGGGCUGGUGCUGGCAGCUCACGCAGUGCCUGGGUCGGGAGCUCCCACCAUGAGGACGUCGCGUGGGGACAUCCUGGGGGGACAUUCUGCAAAAUGCUCGCCCCUGAGCUAUGGCCAGGGCGAGAUGGGGAUGGGGCAAAGGCAGGGGACAGAGACCUGGCACUGCCCCGGGGCUGCCUUUAAGCAAGGGGUUCGCAGCUACUGUGCAGUUAGGUGGGUUUGAGCCAUUUUCCAAUAAAACUUCAUGAAAACCCGAAGUGUUUUGUUGC
ensembl:lncRNA